GACGAACGCUGGCGGCGUGCUUAACACAUGCAAGUCGAACGGAAAGGCCCCCAUCUUGGUGGGGGUGCUCGAGUGGCGAACGGGUGAGUAACACGUGGGUGAUCUGCCCUGUACUUCGGGAUAAGCUUGGGAAACUGGGUCUAAUACCGGAUAGGACCAUGGUUUAGUGUCUCAUGGUGGAAAGAUUAUUGUUUUGGUGCAGGAUGAGCUCGCGGCCUAUCAGCUUGUUGGUGGGGUAAUGGCCUACCAAGGCGUCGACGGGUAGCCGGCCUGAGAGGGUGGACGGCCACAUUGGGACGGAGAUACGGCCCAGACUCCUACGGGAGGCAGCAGUGGGGAAUAGUGCACAAUGGGCGCAAGCCUGAUGCAGCGACGCCGCGUGGGGGAUGACGGCCGUCGGGUUGUAAACUCCUUUCGUUAGGGACGAAGCCGCACUUUUUUUGGGUGUGGUGACGGUACCUUUGUUAAGAAGCACCGGCUAACUACGUG
rnacentral:rRNA from 1 species